AGACAAGUUAUUAAGAGCAACGGGCGGAUGCCUUGGCGCUGGAAGGCGAUGAAAGACGUGAUAAGCUGCGAUAAGCGUCGGUGAGGAGCUAAAUAUCCAUUGACCCGGCGAUUUCUGAAUGGGGAAACCCAGCCGGAGUAAUGUCCGGCUGCCGCAACAUGAAUGAAUAGUGUUGCAGGAGCUAACCUAGGGAAGUGAAACAUCUCAGUACCUAGAGGAAAAGAAAUCAAACGAGACUCCCAAAGUAGCGGCGAGCGAAAUGGGAAGAGGCCAAACCUGUAGGAUUCGUCCUAUGGGGGUUGUAGGGCUGACAGAGGCAAUCAUUGAGUAGGUAGAAGAAGCUGGCUGGAAAGCCACACCAUAGGGGGUGAAAGUCCCGUAUUUGAAGCCGAAAGGGGUGCAGUCAGUCCCUGAGUACUGCGAGGCACGUGAAACCUCGUGGGAAUCAAGGAGGACCAUCUUCUAAGCCUAAGUACUAACCAGCGACCGAUAGUGAACCAGUACCGUGAGGGAAAGGUGAAAAGAACUCCAGUAAGGAGAGUGAAAUAGAAUCUGAAACCUGUUGCUUACAAGCUCUGGGAGCAAUUUUACGAUUGUGACCAGGUGCCUUUUGCAUAAUGAGUCAGCGAGUUAAUCUGUACAGCGAGGUUAAGCGUAAGCGGAGCCGUAGGGAAACCGAGUCUGAUAAGGGCGGAUGAGUUGUGCGGAUUAGACCCGAAACCGGGUGAUCUAUCCAUGAGCAGGUUGAAGCAAGGGUAAAGCCUUGUGGAGGACCGAACAGUCAACGGCUGAAAACGUUUCUGAUGACUUGUGGAUAGGGGUGAAAGGCCAAUCAAACCCGGUGAUAGCUGGUUCUCCCCGAAAUAUAUUGAGGUAUAGCCUCAAGGAUUUUCUAACGGAGGUAAAGCACUGAAAAGGCUAGGGGUCCUACCAGAUUACCAAACCUUAUCAAACUCAGAAUACCGUAUAGAAUUACCUUGGGAGUCAGACAGCGGGUGCUAAGGUCCGUUGUCGAGAGGGUAAGAGCCCAGAUCAACAGCUAAGGUCUCCAAAUACAUACUCAGUGGUCAAGGUGGUGGGGUUGUUCAGACAGCCAGGACGUUGGCUUAGAAGCAGCCAUCGUUUAAAGAAAGCGUAAUAGCUCACUGGUCUAAUGACUCUGCGCCGAAAAUGUAACGGGGCUAAGUAUGUUACCGAAGCUUUGAAUUGCACGCAAGUGUUCUGGUAGGGGAGCGUUCUCUGACAGGCUGAAGGUGUGCCGUAAGGCAUGCUGGACGAGAGAGAAGUGAUUAUGCUGACAUGAGUAACGAUAAAAUAGGUGAAAAACCUAUUCGCCGAAAACCCAAGGUUUUCCGGGUAAAGUUAAUCUUCCCGGAGUUAGUCGGCCCCUAAGGCGAGAGCGAGAGCUGUAGCUGAUGGGAAACGGGUUAAUAUUCCCGUACUUUUAUGAUUGUGCGAUGGAGGGACGCAGAAAGAUAGGCUAUCCGGCUGUUGGAUGCCGGUGCAAGUGUGUAGGAGCAGGAUACAGGCAAAUCCGUAUCCCGGGUCUGAGACACGAGUCCGUGAGCGUAUGCUCUGAAGUAGUUGAGUCUAUGCUGCCAAGAAAAUCUCCUAAGUUUAGGUCAUAGAAACCGUACUGCAAACCAACUCAGGUGGGUGGGAUGAAUAAUCCAAGGCGCUCGAGAGAAUUCUGGCCAAGGAACUCGGCAAAAUAACCCCGUAACUUCGGAAGAAGGGGUGCUCUUUAUUGUGUAGUUUUUUUCUGACGAAGCAUUGAAGAGCCGCAGUGAAUUGGUGGUGGCGACUGUUUACUAAAAACAUAGGUCUGUGCGAAGUCGCAAGACGAUGUAUACGGACUGACGCCUGCCCGGUGCUGGAAGGUUAAAAGGAGGGGUCAGCGCAAGCGAAGCUCCGAAUUGAAGCCCCAGUAAACGGCGGCCGUAACUAUAACGGUCCUAAGGUAGCGAAAUUCCUUGUCGGGUAAGUUCCGACCUGCACGAAUGGCGUAACGAUCUCCACACUGUCUCGGCCAGAAACUCGGUGAAAUUGAAGUCGCGGUGAAAAUGCCGUGUACCCGCAGAAAGACGGAAAGACCCUGUGCACCUUUACUAUAGCUUGACAUUGGAUUUUGGGCCUACAUGUGUAGGAUAGGUGGGAGACAUUGAAGUAUGUACGCCAGUAUGUAUGGAGUCAUCCUUGAAAUACCACCCUUGUAUGUCUAAGGUCCUAACGUGAUGCCGUGAUCCGGCUCACAGACAGUGUCUGGUGGGUAGUUUGACUGGGGCGGUCGCCUCCUAAAGAGUAACGGAGGCAUACAAAGGUUCCCUCAGGCUGUUUGGAAAUCAGCCGUCGAGUGCAAACGCAUAAGGGAGCUUGACUGUAAGAGAGACAUCUCGAACAGAUACGAAAGUAGGUGUUAGUGAUCCGGUGGUCCCGUAUGGAAGGGCCAUCGCUCAUUGGAUAAAAGGUACGCCGGGGAUAACAGGCUGAUCGCAUCCAAGAGUUCAUAUCGACGAUGCGGUUUGGCACCUCGAUGUCGGCUCAUCACAUCCUGGGGCUGAAGCAGGUCCCAAGGGUACGGCUGUUCGCCGUUUAAAGUGGUACGCGAGCUGGGUUUAAAACGUCGUGAGACAGUUUGGUCCCUAUCUUCUGUGGGCGUAGGAAAAUUGAAAGGGCCUGUUCCUAGUACGAGAGGACCGGAAUGGACGCACCCCUGGUGGACCUGUUGUCGUGCCAACGGCACAGCAGGGUAGCUAUGUGCGGAAGGGAUAACCGCUGAAAGCAUCUAAGCGGGAAGCCUGCCUUAAGAUAAGUUUUCCCUGAAGGACCGAUGCAGACUACAUCGUUGAUAGGCCGGAGGUGUAAGCAUAGCGAUAUGUUCAGCUGACCGGUACUAAUAGUCCGUUCGUCUUGUUUCU
rnacentral:rRNA from 1 species